rnacentral:lncRNA from 1 species
UAUUCGAUCAAUUAACGAUUUUCUCCUAUCCACAUGUCUCUGAGUGAAGUAGCCAAAGUUUUAUUUAUGACCAUCAGAUGAUUCUUCCUCUUAGAUAACAUAUUAAAAAUAUGCAUAAUAUCGUAUGCACAUGGUAAGAUAGUUGUUAUACAAAUAAGUUUUAUAUUAACAAGAUAAGUUCAUAUGCUAACUUAUUCAAUAUUCUAUAAAUUUCAAUUUAUCGAAUAUUGCGGUUCCGAAAAACCUUCGUCUUGCUCCAUACUCUUAGCAGAUCUUGCAACAGUCUUCAAACAGCUACCGAACCGCAACGGAGAAAGACUAAGACACCAUGAGACUUUCGACCUCCACGACCCUCAAUCAACACUUUUCCACUCCCAACACCACCGGAAAAGAGAUCGGAGCUACAGUAACGGUGUAUAAGGCUCUGGUGGGAAUUUGUGAGAGAAGCUAAGUUGUUGAGAGUCGGAAGUUUGAAGCUUUUCAAGACAUGUUUCAGCUCCAAAAGGAUGGGAAG